rnacentral:rRNA from 1 species
GACGAACGCUGGCGGCGUGCUUAACACAUGCAAGUCGAACGGAAAGGCCCUGCUUUUGUGGGGUGCUCGAGUGGCGAACGGGUGAGUAACACGUGAGUAACCUGCCCUUGACUUUGGGAUAACUUCAGGAAACUGUGGCUAAUACCGGAUAGGAGCUCCUGCUGCAUGGUGGGGGUUGGAAAGUUUCGGCGGUUGGGGAUGGACUCGCGGCUUAUCAGCUUGUUGGUGGGGUAGUGGCUUACCAAGGCUUUGACGGGUAGCCGGCCUGAGAGGGUGACCGGCCACAUUGGGACUGAGAUACGGCCCAGACUCGUACGGGAGGCAGCAGUGGGGAAUAUUGCACAAUGGGCGGAAGCCUGAUGCAGCAACGCCGCGUGCGGGAUGACGGCCUUCGGGUUGUAAACCGCUUUCGCCUGUGACGAAGCGUGAGUGACGGUAAUGGGUAAAGAAGCACCGGCUAACUACGUG